UAAAAUACAAAGAAAAUACAAGAUGGAGAAGGAAUUACAGAAAAUGGAUCCCAAAAAUGGAUUCAGAGAUAUCAAAUUAGGGGGGGAGGCCCCCUUUUUAUAGAUACAUGGAGUAAAUCAUGGCCAUCGGAUUAAAAACAGUUUGGACGCUCAGGAUUGCGCCACGUCAUCAGUCAACAGUCCACGGUUUGACCACGUGGAUGAACAGUAACACGGUUUGACCCGGAUGAACAGUAACGCGGUUUGGUUGAAAAUAAUCCUGUGUGAUGCAUGCACCGUACGCGAGAUUUUUCGUCCACUGAUAUGCUGCCACGUCACCAUCAACAGUACAUAAGAAUUUUAGUCCAACAGGAUCGUGACACCUCAUCAGUCAAUGCCACAUCAUCGGUCAAUACCACGUCAUCGAUCCGUCUAUGUGAACAGUGUCGUGAACAGUAACGUAGACAGUACCGUAUACGUGAAUAGUACCGUACAUGUGAAUAGUGCCAUUUUUCCUUUUAUGCUCCUCCUAAGGUUUUCGACCGUCCU
rnacentral:lncRNA from 1 species